CUGGCGGCNGGCUUANNCAUGCAAGUCGAGCGAAGCCUUCGGGCUUAGCGGCGGACGGGUGAGUAACGCGUGGGAACGUGCCCUUCACUACGGAAUAGUCCCUGGAAACGGGGUUUAAUACCGUAUACGCCCUUCGGGGGAAAGAUUUAUCGGUGAAGGAUCGGCCCGCGUCUGAUUAGGUAGUUGGUGGGGUAAUGGCCUACCAAGCCGACGAUCAGUAGCUGGUUUGAGAGGAUGAUCAGCCACACUGGGACUGAGACACGGCCCAGACUCCUACGGGAGGCAGCAGUGAGGAAUCUUGGACAAUGGGGGCAACCCUGAUCCAGCCAUGCCGCGUGAACGAUGAAGGCCUUAGGGUUGUAAAGUUCUUUCACCGGAGAAGAUAAUGACGGUAUCCGGAGAAGAAACCCCGGCUAACUCCGUGCCANCAGCCGCGGUAAUACGGAGGGGGUUAGCGUUGUUCNNAUUACUGGNCGUAAAGCGCACGUAGGCGGACCAUUAAGUCNGGGUGAAAUCCCGGGGCUCAACCCCGGAACUGCCUUUGAUACUGGUGGGUCUGNNNUUNANNAGGNNGUGGAANNCCAGUGUANNGGGAAAGUNCNGGGNNG
rnacentral:rRNA from 1 species